rnacentral:rRNA from 1 species
CCUACGGGUGGCAGCAGUAGGGAAUCUUCCACAAUGGGCGAAAGCCUGAUGGAGCAACGCCGCGUGGGUGAAGAAGGUCUUCGGAUCGUAAAACCCUGUUAUUAGAGAAGAAAGUGCGUGAGAGUAACUGUUCACGUUUCGACGAUAUCUAACCAGAAAGCCAGGGCUAACUACGUGCCAGCAGCCGCGGUAAUACGUAGGUGGCAAGCGUUAUCCGGAUUUGUUGGGCGUAACGGGAGCGCAGGCGGGCUUUUAAGUCUGAUGUGAAAGCCGUAGGCUUAACUGGAGUAGUGCAUUGGAAACUGGGAGACUGGAGUGCAGAAGAGGAGAGUGGAAUUCCAGGUGUAGCGGUGAAAUGCGUAGAUAUAUGGAAGAACACCAGUGGCGAAAGCGGCUUUCUGGUCUGUAACUGACGCUGAGGUUCGAAAGCGUGGGUAGCAAACAGGAUUAGAUACCCGAGUAGUC